CAGUCCCGGGGAAUGACUGUUCAACCUGACUUCAAUCAUAUGUCCACCUCUCUAUGAUCAGAUCUGUUAACAGAAGACAUGGCAGGGAAGAGAAAUAAUAACCAAUAUAAUGGGUGGUACAAUGUUAAAAUAUAUAUAUACUUGAGAAAAUAAUAAAUAAUAGGAAUAAAAAUCACAUUCUAUAAAAACCAAAUGCAUAUAGACAGCCAACUAUAUCGAAAGUUUAGGACAAAUAAUCCUAUGUUCAAGACAACAUCAGGGUGUGUUUAAACAGUUUAGAACUCUUCUUAAACCCGGCCCCCUCUUUCCUUCUAUUACUUUUUCCUCUAAAUAUAUUGCCUUCUAGUUGUUGGCCAAAUAUGGGACUGAAAUAUGUUUAAAUAUAUUGAAAUUAAUCAGUAAAGACUUGCUUACACUCUUUGCAGAUUUUAAAUCAGGAGAUUUUUAAAACCAUUUCAAACCUCACUAAGCUUUUUGUUUUGUUUACACAGAGGAUUCCCCAUGUCUCAUAAGCUUAAAGAAAAAAAAAUUAUUCAAUAGACCAGUCAAAUGGAAGAGGCUUUUAUUUGUAAAGAAAUGAACUUACAACUGAUCUACAAUAUAUUAUUGUAAUAUAAACAAUAUAAAUAAAUGAUCCUGUAGGCCCACUAAUCUUCCAUCCAGACCCACAUGAAGCAAUGUUACAACAAUAUUCUAUAUGAAAAUGUGCAGGUAACAAAGGUGCAAUUACAAGCAAGUUAAGCAGCAGAGUAUAAGGUGCUUUAAUUUAAUAGUUAAUGUUGCCAUCAACAAACAUUUAAAUGCUCAAUUUACUUCACUGAAUACAGACACAACAAAUAUGAAAAUCUAAAUUCAUACACAUGCUACUUAAUAUGAAAGUGCUUUCUCUUUUUUAAAAAAAUACACCAAAUGGACACUUUUUACAUAGAUCAAAUGUGCUCUUACAAUGCAAAAUUAACCUUCAUUUUCAGGUUAUACAUUUUAAAACUGUAGCUAUCAACACCAAUCUAGGAACUCUAAUGCUAAGAGUGCUAAAAACUAUUUCAUUUCUUGUAAGGAGGACUCUAAUACAAUAUCCAAUGUAAAGAAUACAUCUAUAUAUAAUCUUAACAUGUUUUCUGUAAAGAUAAAAAAUGUUUUCUUUCCCCUUGGUGAUCUUUGUUCAUCCUGGGUGGAUCAUCUUUUGAGGUUUUAAUAAUAUGAAAGUCCUAUUUUAGAACAAUGGGAGGAACCAAAAGGGGAAUUAAAAAAUUGGUUAACGUGUGCUUGAAGCAUCCAAAAAACACCAGUUUAUCACAACAAUUGGUCUUUGCUAAAAUUAACAAAAUUUUAAUAAGCAAGACGACAAAAAGUACUAAUUUAAAAGGCUUGAAAUGCCUGCCACCAUUGUCAGUAUCCAUCCAUCCAACCUUCAUUUACUACAAGCACAAUACUACUUUGAGGAUAGUUUUUGGAACUUAUUUUGACUUUUUUCCCUAUAGGAAAAACAAAGACCAAGCUUUUGAAGGAGAGGACUGGGAAUCUAGUUUAAAUGUCUACAUCCAAAAUUAUAUCAUCUUUGCGCAUUCAGUUGACUUUUUAAAAUUUAAGAAUACAUAUACAAAAAGUACUUAUGGAAUACAUAUUUUAACAGCAUAACAUAUUUGAAGAAUUAGUUACACUUUAAAAAUUAAAACACUUGAAAAGUAUUUUUUAAACCAGUACCAUGGAAUAACUUUUUGAAACCCAGAUUAUCUGGCUACUUAGAUGAUAGUCUUCCUGUUUUCAAUUAGUUUGAAAGAUUCUAAUAUAGAUUCUAACCCAACAGUUUAUAUGGAUAUUUUCCUGCUUUAAAAAGCUGCAACAGGCUAGGCGCAGUGGCUCAUGCCUAUAAUCCCGGCACUUUGGGAGGCUGAGGUGGGCGGAUCACUUGAGGUCAGGAGUUCGAGUCCAGCCUGGCCAACAUGGUGAAACCCCAUCUCUACUAAAAAUACAAAAAACUGGCCAGGCAUAGUGGUGCAUGCCAGUAAUCCCAGCUACUUGGGAGGCCAAGGUGGGAGAAUCUAUUGAACCUGGGAGGUGGAGGUUGCAUUGAGCCAAGAUCACACCGCUGCACUCAAGCCUGGGUGACAGUGAGACUCUGUCUCAAAACAAACAAAACAAAAAAGCUAAAACAAUGAUAAACUAUUUUUAAUAGAUAUUUUCAUUCUAUAUCUUUAUGGAGAAUGUCAGUAUCAACUGAUGUUAACAAGUAAAGCUUUGUCAACAGGAAUUACAAUGUGAUUCACAGAUCCCAGAAUGACAAGGAAGGGACCUUAACCCAAUAAAUGAUUCUCCCAUUCAAUGUUUACCCCCUAGAUACUUAACAAUUCAAGCAUGGAACUGUUUCAUGUUUACCCGUUCUACAUUUAAAGGAUGCCCUUUUACUAUAUAUGUGCUUUCUAGAAUAUUACUGAUUCUUACAUAUCUUUAAAAGUUGGAUAUUUGUAAUAGCUUAAAGUACAGUAACACUUAUUUUGUGUAAUCUUUCUUAAUUUAAAAACAAAAAAUAAAUGAACAAGUCAGUUCCAAUGAUCUCCUUUGAGAUUUUUCAGUUUUAGAAAGUUGCUACACUGUCGGACAGGUGUGGUGGCUCAUGCCUGUAAUCCCAGCACUUAGGGAGGCCAAGGCAGGUGGAUCACUUGAGGUCAAGAGUUCGAGACUAGCCUGGCCAACAUGGUGAAGCCCCGUCUCUACUAAAAAUACAAAAAUUAGCCAGGUGUGGCGGCGGGCACCUGUAAUUCCAGCUACUUGGAAGGCUGAGGCAAGACUAAAAAAUUCUUUCUAAAACAGGUUGAUGUUUAACUUCACUAAUGACUAGACACCCCACCACUCUCUCAUAAACACCAACUUUUUCACCACCAUCACUUAAAGCUCCACAAAGCUUGGAUUUAACACUGAUAAUAUUCCAUGAAAUAUAACUUUUAAGCCAAUAAGUGAUGGUGACUAUCAAUCCUUAAGAUGAUUACUGGAGUAAAUUUAAACAGGUGCUCUAAAAGAACUUACUACCUUACUCUUAUAUUUAAUUAACACCUUGCCAUGUUAGUAUAACAGUGUUUUCAAAUUAUGUUGUUUUCAAAACUGAAAUUCAUUCAUUACUCUGCUUUUUUUAAACAACAAAUUUUGUUUUCUUUCUAUGGAUUCAUACUGAACACCACCAGUAUCACUGAGAGGACUAGUACUUGUAAAAAGCAGUAGAAACAAAAAUAUUUUUCAAAAGUAUAAAGCUAGCUAGAACCUCACUAUGUUGUACCUCUAACAUUUCCGAUUAAAAUUGUCAUCUUUAAGUAAAAUUAAAUGUCAACAAACUAUAAAAGGGAAAAAAUAAAACAUCUGGAAAACAUUUCCCAAAUGUUCCCAUAAACAUGACACUUGGAAGGGGUGUGUGCAUGUGUCUGAGUAGAAAAGCUGAUCUUCAGAGCUGAAAAGGAGGGCAGAGAUUCUCCCUUAAUGUAUGUUUUCUAAAUUGAAAGUUUAGAAAAAGCCAUAUUCUCUGGAAUGUGAUGGUAAUAAUUAUAUUUGUAUUAUUUGUAUUAAUGCUUUACAACUUUCAAAAAAAAGCUUUCUCAUAGUACAAUUUUAAAACGGAUUAGGUUCUAAAAACUAAUAUGUAAAACUUUGAAAAUUCUUAAAAAUUUAGGAAAUUCUUUUUCCAAAGAAGGUAAUCUAAUUUUAAAUUUAUUUGAAGAAAGCUUAUAUAACUACUGUGAACAAAACUAUAUGAUACAUUUUAUGAACUUCUAAUAAAAGAGGACGUAUCUUCCCAAAUAAUUUUUUGUUUUGUUUUUUUGAGAUGGAGUCUCGCUCUGUCACCCAGGCUGGAGUGCAGGGGUGUGAUCUUGGCUCACUGCAACCUCCACCACCUGGGUUCAAGCAAUUCUCCUGUCUCAGCCUCCCAAGUAGCUGGAAUUACAGGUGCAUGCCACCACACCCAGCUAAUUUUUGUGUUUUUAGUAGAGAUAGGGUUUCACCAUAUUGGUCAGGCUGGUCUCGAACUCCUGACCUCAGGUGAUCUACCCACCUCAGCCUCCCAAAGUGCUGGGAUUACAGGUGUGAGCCACCAUGCCCAGCCCCAAAUAAUUUCUUUUAAGAUAUACAGCUUAACAAGUUGAAAUUUUAGUAAGAUUGCAUAUUUACUUUUCCUAAUACUGUAUUUGUGCUUAUCUAAAGUGGAUCACAAUCUUUGAGAUGAAAUUAAAUGCUCCAAGUAGAUUUGUAAAAUACCAAUAUUGAUGAAUGUGGGUAAACAGUUCAUUUCAUGAUCCACACUGCUGUGAACCAAAGAAGCAGAGGUAGGCUUGUGUUUACUGAAAUCCAGACUAGGAAAGAGAAACCUAUAGCUCUUCUUUUCCCAAUUCUUAGACUGAGACACAACCUAGCAAAUAAAAUACUAUCUUAAAAUGCCUCUCUUUAUAACAAUCUACAGAGGUGAUUCAACUGUGAUAUCUGAAAAUGGAAACUCUGUAAUUCUGGCAACUCAAUUACAACAACCUUUGAAUUUUUGACAAAUAUUCUCCAACUGUAAUAAAAGGUUCUCACCUUUUUCAGAAAUCAAAAAUCACUAACUUCUACAUCACUGGAACUAUUAAUAUCCAUGCUCCCAAGCAUGGAGACAGUGGGUAUAGAGAGUGAAAGAAUGAGUCUGAUUACAGGUAAAUCUUGACAUAUAAAAACUAUAACCUAUUUACUGCUAUAACUGGCAUCUAACAAAACGCAUUAUUUUGAACUAUGGAUGAAAGCCAUAUCUAUCCUAAAUAUCUUCUAUCCUCUUGGGUCUAGAAUGCUUUGUUCCUCCUACUUGUCUCCUCCUCUACUUCCCUAUCCUUCCCCCUAGAAAACCUUCCUUAGGGCCCAGCUAGUUACAUAUGUAGUACACAAGAUAGAGAUUGAGCAAUCAUUUUGCAUAGAUGCGCCAGUUUCCACUGCCCAAAGGUUGCUCUGGAACAUGACUGUCAGGUAUCAGAAAGUCCUGCCCCAGCUGCCUCCCUUCCUAAAGUUAGCCCCCAUACGAAAUCCUCUCUAAGGAUUCUGAGACAAAGAUCUCUCCAAGAAAGAAGUUUUCAUGGUUUUCUUGGAGCUAGAGGCCUUAGAGAGGUAGUGAGAUGAGGCCCUUUCAUGCCAUUAGCUAAUGCUCAAUGCCAGUAGGCUGCAUGUGUUCCUGCAAUCCACCAAGGUGAAAACCACAAACUAUAACCAGGCUGUUCUGGCUGAAAAUACAUCUUUAAAACAUUUUAACAGUGUGUCCAGUCAGUUUCAUCCACUGGAUAUGGCUGUCAGGUCAGCAUCACUCACAUACAUCUAUAAUAGUGUAUUCUUUCAAAAAUUGUUUAUACACACUUAAUAUAGGCAUAUAGCCUAAGACUAUAUUGCCUCCCUACCAUACUUGUGCCAUUGUGGUACCAAAAGCCUGAAGAUGUACAUAAUGUACUUUAAGACAUUUAACUGAACAAGUCAGUGGGAGACAGGGCACUAUAACACAUUUCAAUUCAAUCUAAGACUUGUAUUUGUGAAUAGAUGUCUCAUUAUAAUUUUAUACUUGAUACAUGAAGAUAAGCUACGUCAAAAAUUAUUCAAAGGCAUGAUCACAAUAAUACUUGUUUCAUAGUUCUAAGUAUUUUGAUACACCAGGAAACAAAAAUCAACUGGGAUCCCUAAUGAAAGAAAAUUAUUUCUUCUAAGUAAAACAUGAAUUUCACUUCAAAAGUGCAGAAAUGUGCUCAGUGUUGAAGUAGGCUAAGCUAACAAGGAUGAUGGCCUCCUCCUCUGACUCUUCCCAUGCUCAAGCUUUUGCAUUACCAUUUCUCUCCUCCCAUUCCACCUUGUCUACUCCUAGGUGACUGCUCUUAAAACACACCUUUUAAAAAGUUCUGUUUAGAGCAUUCAACAGCAAAGUAACAGGACCAUCAGGGAAAUAAUAUGCUACUUAAAAAGUGACAGGAGGAUUUGGGACAACACUCUAUCUCAUACUAUAUUGACUACUCAAAGCUGCAUAGCUGUGUCUUACACAUGCCUACACAAGGCUUGAUGAAUAUUAAUGUCAUAUAAAAAAUAAUUUUUACAAAUCAGCUCUCUUAGUUGUUUAACUUCCCCAGGAACACAAGGCUUAAAGCAAAAUUUCAAACUUAUGCUUUUUAUCCCAAUGGGACAAAGAGUGCAACACUGCAAGGAAGUCAGAAAAUGCAAACUUAGGUAGCAAAAGUAGGAAGAACCUCCAUGUUCCCUUUCUGUUUGUCAUUAUCUCUCCCCAGUCAAAAUCCUAAAACUAUUAGUAGUAGUAUGAAAGGAUAUGAAAACAAUUUACUCUCCCCACCUAUAUCAUACUGAAACUCUGCUUUAAAGCUCAGGAGAGAGGUGGAUGCUCAGUGUUGUCUAUAUAUCCAUUAUAUAUAGCUGAAGCUUUGAAAUUAAGAUGAUUAACUCAUCUUGAAAGAAACAGCUGCACCAAUGUGAUAGCAAACAAGCCAUUUUUAAAUAAAAACUCACUUGAAAAAAGCAAGUGCAUAUUUUGUGUAUGUUUUGAGUGGGGACAACAGAGAUCUGGACUAGAUUUAAGAUUAUACGGUAUUCUCCAAUAGAAAACCCUCUUGUAAGCCCCUCCUGAAUACUUAAGACAGCAGUAGGCACAGGGGCUUUCAAUAAGUACAGAAUGGCUGCUAUUAGGAAAGAGAACAAAUAAAAGGAGAGCCUACAACACAGUUCAAAAUUGAUACCUUAAAGGCCAUAGGUAAUACAGUUAUAGGAUGUAAUCAUUAUUGCUGGAGCAGUCUAUCCCCAUAUAAUAAAUUUUGUAUUAACCGUGGAUAAUCUAUGAAAAGUUUUAAUUCCAGGCGAGAUUUUCCGUUGCACCUCUCUCUCUCAUACUGUGGGCCAUCUCUUACUAAUGCUUAGCCUGUAUUUGUGUUCUGAAAUUCCAAGAAGAGGGAAAAGUCAAGCAUAUGACAAUUCUGUCAUGAUGAUUAACUGCUAAUAAAUGAAAACUCAUUAUAGAGUACCUAGCUUUCCUUGAUACUUUAAUCCAAUGAUUAAAAAUGUGAUAUAAAGAAAUACGUAACAUAGACUACAAGCUAUCGUAGGUCUGGAACAUGAGCCUUA
rnacentral:lncRNA from 1 species